UGCUUAAGGUCCCAUUAACAAACAAACUGGUUUUCUGUCCUGAGUAGAAGAAUAUAGAAUGAGACCACUUCUUUUAAAUGUGCUCCUAAUAGACCACCAUGGACACUACGUGGGGGAGACAUGAAAGAUUUUUCCUUCUUUUGAAACACAUCUCCCCAAGCUCACCAGCCUUAAACUGCAGCAUCACCAAAGUACCUGGGAGGAAUUGGUGUCUCUGAUUCAUUAUUUCUUCAGAUACUGGUGACGAGGGGCUAUCUAGCUAUUUGUACCUGAGUCAGCAAAGGCACCCACUCAUUUAAUAGCAUAGAAAUCACAGACCUAGAAAGGCUAAGUGAUGUUUUCAAGGUGGUAGAGCUAGUCGGGGUCAGACUUAAGGACAGAAGUUCAGUCUUUAUCUUUUCUUUUUUCUGUCCCAAACUACAUCUAGCCUACUUUUAAGACGUAUGCCAAGUUCUUGGACUCUGCCUUUAACCUCUCUGUCUGCCUCUGCCUCUUUCCUGCUCUCUUCAAGCCCCUAACUAUAUAUCAAGAAAGUAUUUUUUAGAGCACUCUUAGCAACAGUUUCCCAGGUUAUAGUUCUUAAAAGACAGACAAAAGAGGAGGUUCAGAUAGAGGGGCCAAUUGGACCUGAGCAUCCCUCUCUGAUGUGAGCAUGUGGUUAAGGAUACUACUGAAUUAGCUAAUGGACAUGUAUACAGUGAAAACACUAAAGAGAGUUUUUAAAAAUUGGAAGCAAAAAUUAUACAAAAUUCCUGCAAGGAUAAAUGUUAGAAAAACCACAGUACUUCUAAUGGCAUUCAGGUUGGACCUUGACCUGUAAACAUCUGCUGGGCCAUUUUCUGGGACAGGAUGGCUUUAGCAACUGAAAGAGCCCUGUCUCUAAGCCAAUGUUCUUUUCUUCCCCUACAGGUUUCAUUACACCCUCACACUGAGGCCAGUGGAAGGAAAUGGAGUGGAAACAGUGUAUGCUUCUUUAGUCUGGAGAACAGCAGCCAGUUGGGGAGCAUUACUCAAAACCAAAGGCAUUUUGUUCCUUCUAAGUAUUUCAGAUUCAGUUUGCAUGUCAGCUGUAAUCUUAAGUAUCAUCACCUAUCCAUCAGCCUCUCCAUUCCUGACUCAGAACCAAAUGACCAGAGAGAACACAUAUUGGAAACACUGGUACAUACAAAGGAAGAAUGCAAUAAAUACAGUGCCGUGAAUCAUCA